rnacentral:rRNA from 1 species
UACGUAGGGGGCAAGCGUUGUCCGGAUUUAUUGGGCGUAAAGAGCGUGUAGGCGGUUUGGUAGGUCCGCUGUGAAAACUCGAGGCUCAACCUCGAGACGCCGGUGGAAACCAUCAGACUAGAGUCCGGAAGAGGAGAGUGGAAUUCCUGGUGUAGCGGUGAAAUGCGCAGAUAUCGGGAGGAACACCUGUGGCGAAAGCGGCUCACUGGACCACAACUGACGCUGAGAAGCGAAAGCAUGGGGAGCGAACAGG